rnacentral:rRNA from 1 species
AGCCACGGCUAACUACGUGCCAGCAGCCGCGGUAAUACGUAGGUGGCAAGCGUUGUCCGGAAUUACUGGGUGUAAAGGGAGCGUAGGCGGGAUGCCAAGUCAGCUGUGAAAACUAUGGGCUUAACCCGUAGACUGCAGUUGAAACUGGUAUUCUUGAGUGAAGUAGAGGUUGGCGGAAUUCCGAGUGUAGCGGUGAAAUGCGUAGAUAUUCGGAGGAACACCGGUGGCGAAGGCGGCCAACUGGGCUUUAACUGACGCUGAGGCUCGAAAGUGUGGGGAGCAAACAGGAUUAGAUACCCUGGUAGUCCACACUGUAAACGAUGAUAACUAGGUGUGGGGGGUCUGACCCCUUCCGUGCCGCAGCUAACGCAAUAAGUUAUCCACCUGGGGAGUACGACCGCAAGGUUGAAACUCAAAGGAAUUGACGGGGACCCGCACAAGCAGUGGAUUAUGUGGUUUAAUUCGAAGCAACGCGAAGAACCUUACCAGCACUUGACAUCCGACUAACGAAGUAGAGAUACAUUAGGUGCCCUUCGGGGAAAGUCGAGACAGGUGGUGCAUGGUUGUCGUCAGCUCGUGUCGUGAGAUGUUGGGUUAAGUCCCGCAACGAGCGCAACCCCUGCCAUUAGUUGCUACGCAAGAGCACUCUAAUGGGACCGCUACCGACAAGGUGGAGGAAGGUGGGGACGACGUCAAAUCAUCAUGCCCCUUAUGUGCUGGGCUACACACGUAAUACAAUGGCCAUCAACAAAGAGAAGCAAUACCGCGAGGUGGAGCAAAACUUCAAAAAUGGUCUCAGUUCGGACUGCAGGCUGCAACCCGCCUGCACGAAGUUGGAAUUGCUAGUAAUCGUGGAUCAGCAUGCCACGGUGAAUACGUUCCCGGGUCUUGUACACACCGCCCGUCACACCAUGGGAGUUGGUAACACCCGAAGUCAGUAGUCUAACCGCAAGGAGGACGCUGCCGAAGGUGGGAUUGACGACUGGGGUGAAGUCGUAACAAGGUAGCCGUAUCAGAAGGUGCGGCUG